UACGUAGGUGGCGAGCGUUGUCCGGAUUUACUGGGCGGAAAGUGCGCGCAGGCGGCUGGUCAAGUCCGAUGUGAAAGCUCCCGGCUUAACUGGGAAAUUGCAUCGGAAACUGAUCGGCUGGAAGGUGGGAGAGGGUAGCGGAAUUCCCGGUGUAGUGGUGAAAUGCGUAGAUAUCGGGAGGAACACCGGUGGCGAAAGCGGCUGCCUGGCCCAUUCUUGACGCUGAGGCGCGAAAGCUAGGGGAGCAAACGGG
rnacentral:rRNA from 1 species